rnacentral:lncRNA from 1 species
UAAAAUUCACCCCUAUCUCUCUGCUAAAGUUUUUGGUUUUCCCUCCCAUUCUCAAAUCUAAUCUGACCAUCCAAAUCGACUCCCACCCCCUUCUCAUUUAGAAAAUUAGGGUUUGUGAGAGCAAUAUGAGAAGCCGUAUGUGAAGAAUAUGACGUGUUUGUGCAUCUAUCUUUAGAUCCCAAUCCCUAAACCUAACAUUCUGAUCGUUCGAUUUAAACCCAUGGAACCUAAUGUCUAUGAACCGAUUGAAGCUCAGAAAAUCAGUUCUCGAAAAUGGAAGGAAAACGAAGCGUUGCCAGGUUGAAUAAUCAAAAGUUGCAGAUUUAAGCGACAAACAAUUAAAGUUCUCACGAUGAAGACUUGUGCAGCAAUAGCCUACGCAGUAUGCAACGUGUGUAUAACAUAGUAUUGAUCAGUCCAUUGUUAGUGCUUCUAUCUACCUUUUUUAUUUAGCGAUUGGGGCGACAACGUUUCAAGGCGAUGUUUGCUUAUUUCAUGACUUAGAAAAUGGAGGAUGAACCAAGUUUUAACCCUUUUUGGUUUUUAGAUCAUGUUGGUGUUACCACUUCCCGUGUUCAUCUUUAAGGGGGGCUAUCAGCUAUGGAUGAAUUUGGAUUGAGAUCUAUUCCCAAUUUGCAUAAUAUAUAUAUCGGCACUUGUUUCCUUAUCAUCAAGGUUGGGCGGCAGGGGUGUAUCAAACUUACAUAGAUGGCUGUACAAGGCAAAGACCAAGGCUACAAUCUUGUUCUAGAAUUCAAUGGAGCAAUUUUGGUGUUGUAAAAGAUCAAAGUAACUCGUCUUCAGAGUUUUGGACCUUGCAACGGGUCUUGUGCCAAACCUAGGACCAACGUGUCUGAAUCUGCAACAUGUGGUGGUCAAAGCCAAGUUGUAUCUUUAUCUCUAUUUAUCUGGUUUUAGUUCCUUGUAUUUGUAGAAUUUGUACAUUUUUGUAAAUUGAUAUGAAUUUAUUGAAUAGGAUUUGUAAAUCUAUUUAGCAUCAAACUUGUGACAUAAUGGGUCCUUGGUUUGUUUUGUAGU